AAGUCGGUAAAAUAAGAACCCAGCACGCACGUAGGCACUUCUAGUUUCAAACAAACCAAAGACGCGUAUGAUGGUGUGAAACCAUAGCCCAUCAUUCUCGACCAGGUUCUGCACUCUGCCACGAGUGCGUAGUUACCUCUAGUCUCUGCCAGUUGGUCAUGCGUCAAUCACCGGACUGAAAACCCGUUUGGGUAAUUCUCGAGCGAUACCUAGAAUUCGAUGUCAUCAGCGGAAGCUUAUGUAAAUAACGAUUGACAGCGAUUGACGCGGCGGUGUAAUUAGAGUAAUGACCCGGCUCCAGGAAUUCCACGUUUUAUGUAUACAUCAAUUGAUGAUAUAGAGCUGUGUGAUACAAGAGCACAGGUGAUCCUGGUUGUUCCGUUGUCAUGCAGAACUGAAAUACAAACAACUGGAAAAUGGCGGGUACUUGUGAACUAUCGAAUACGGAACACAGCAAAUUCAUUAAAUGGAAAGCACGCGAUGCUAUUGAAAACAAACAAUGAUUUGGACAAUUCAACAAUGGAACAAAGUGAACAGUGAACAAAACAAAAAUAAUAGCCAUUGAGGGCUGUUAUAAAAUUUGAGGCGGAAAGAUGAACUUGUUGAAGGUGAAAUACCCAUAGCUGGUGGAUGAUAAUCCAGACGACCGGAGUGCGAACCCACAUCGCAGCAGUUUUCACCAAUGUCCACGCUUGUCCAUGGUGAGGGAGGAGGGGAUUUAGAUAAUGUCCACGUGGACACAUAAAAUGAAUAUUUCUGAAAAUACAAUAUAAUCAAAAAUGAAUGAAAUCUGCUCUGCAUUUUCAUAGAAUUUCAAUCUUGCCGCUCCUUACGUGUAC